GGCCGCGAAUUCGCCCUUAGGGUUUGAUUCUGGCUCAGAUUGAACGCUGGCGGCAGGCCUAACACAUGCAAGUCGAGCGGUAACAGGAGAAAGCUUGCUUUCUUGCUGACGAGCGGCGGACGGGUGAGUAAUGUAUGGGGAUCUGCCCGAUAGAGGGGGAUAACUACUGGAAACGGUGGCUAAUACCGCAUACUGUCUACGGACCAAAGCAGGGGCUCUUCGGACCUUGCACUAUCGGAUGAACCCAUAUGGGAUUAGCUAGUAGGUGGGGUAAAGGCUCACCUANGCNACNAUCUCUAGCUGGUCUGANAGGAUGAUCAGCCACACUGGGACUGAGACACGGCCCA
rnacentral:rRNA from 1 species